rnacentral:misc_RNA from 1 species
UUGCCGUCCGCCGACCUCGCUGGUGAGCUCCUUCGCGUCGUCGAUUUCCUUGACCCACAGCCUCUCUUCCGACCUCGUCGUGCUCGCGGUGUCAUUGUAAAGCUGCUAGCUGCCAGUCUCGCUGUUCCUGAUACCCAGCAAGCCGUUGUGCUCGGCAUACUUUCUCUAUGUGGUUCUCUCGCUUCAUCGGCUUUCCGCGUGUUAGAGCAGAGUACCAAGAAGAAGUGA